AUCAUCGGGUAGGGGACUUGGAUUACCUGAAUCAACAAGGCAGAGCAGGGAGUUACCUGACAAAGGAAACUGGAAGCUAUAAAAGAAAGGGUCUCUCACUAGCCAUUAGAGAGAGAGACUGAGAUCCUGACCCAGACUCCAGGACAGGGAGAGAAGCCAUCUGCAGGAGGGCAGCAGGAGAGGAAGGGUUCUGGAUUCCUUAAAAGACUCUGAUCUAAGCCUAAAGAGUGUUCAAGAGUGGUGAGGAAACUGAGGCAGGGAAAUGUGCACAGGAAAUUUCAACUGGGUCUGGGAUCCUUGGAUUGCCUCUGCAAUGGAAAAUGCUGAGAAUCUUACAAUAAUGACUCAAGAGCAACUUGCCGAAUUAAGGAUGGGACACUCUUUUAAAAUUAAGUUGGUGACAUGCUUUUGGACUCAUUCUGGUUGACAGUGGCAUACAAAUCGUACAGUCUGAGAAUGCUGUGUAUCUCUAUUUUGUUGUCAUUUUCAACAUGUACCUGUGCAAGUUAAGUUUUUUUUCAAGCCCAAC